rnacentral:rRNA from 1 species
CGAAGGCCGUGCGCUAACUUUUGAGGCAGCGGACCACGGUGAGCUCAGCGACUGGGGUGAAGUCGUAACAAGGUAGCCGUAGGGGAACCUGCGGCUGGAUCACCUCCUUUCUAAGG